rnacentral:rRNA from 1 species
AUUGAACGCUGGCGGCAUGCUUUACACAUGCAAGUCGAACGGCAGCGCGGGGCAACCUGGCGGCGAGUGGCGAACGGGUGAGUAAUAUAUCGGAACGUACCCAGAAGUGGGGGAUAACGUAGCGAAAGUUACGCUAAUACCGCAUACGAUCUACGAAUGAAAGUAGGGGACCGCAAGGCCUUAUGCUUUUGGAGCGGCCGAUAUCUGAUUAGCUAGUUGGUGAGGUAAAGGCUCACCAAGGCGACGAUCAGUAGCUGGUCUGAGAGGACGACCAGCCACACUGGAACUGAGACACGGUCCAGACUCCUACGGGAGGCAGCAGUGGGGAAUUUUGGACAAUGGGCGCAAGCCUGAUCCAGCAAUGCCGCGUGAGUGAAGAAGGCCUUCGGGUUGUAAAGCUCUUUUGUCAGGGAAGAAACGGUAGAGGCUAAUAUCCUUUGCUAAUGACGGUACCUGAAGAAUAAGCACCGGCUAACUACGUG